rnacentral:lncRNA from 1 species
GUAUUUUUCAGCAGUCUAAAUAUUAUUAGGCAUAUAUUUUAAUCGAUACGUUUACAUUCGUACUUUUUUAUUAUAAUAAUAGGUAAUGUUAGUGUUAAUAUUUAAUAAUAAUAUAGUAAAGGCACAGUACAUUUUAAAAUUAAUUAAAUUAUACUUAUAGAAUAGUAUUGUAGUAAUAUAGGUAGUACAACAUAAGACGUAUUAACUAAUUCGUAUGCGAUACAAUUUUGACUUGUUACAUGGUUAUUAAUAUUCAUAUUAUAAUGUGAGUAAGUAUAUAUACGUGCUAUCUACCUAGUAGAUAUAUAGGUACCUUACCUGCCACAAUUUAAAUAUACCUACUUUAAAAUAUUAAAUCUGUGUUAUAACUUCAGUAAAUGUAAAAUGUAAUAUAUUUUAAUGUAUGCUAGUAUCUAAUUAAUAAUUUAAUUACCUAUGCUAAACAGAAAUUAUUAUUCUUGUCUUUGCUGGGGUAUAAUUGUAUAAAUAUAGGCAAUGAUGAUUUAUUUUAGUAGGUAUAAAAAUAAAAAUAAUAAAAUACAAAUGAGAAAAUAAGUAGAUUAGGUAGGUUAUAUUGAGUACCACAAAAAUAUUGAGUAAAACAAACAAAAUAAUAGAAAAUUACAGAACUGAUAUUACAAUAUUAUAAAUACUGAAAUUUAGCGAACCUAAAAUUAAAUAUUAUAUAGGUAUCUAUGUCUAUUAACAUCUACUUAUAUAAAAUAUUAAGUCUUAUAGUUGUAUUUUCUUUAAGGUCUUUGUAUAUAAUAUUAUUACCUUAUAAUGUAGAUACUAUCACUAACAUUUAAUUAUAAUAAAAUCCUUAAAAUUAAAAUUUAUACAUUUUUUAACAUCUAUUUUCAUUGGCAUAUUUUAGUUGAUUUUAUUUUUUUGAGGGAGGGGGCCAAAUUUAUACUUUUAUUGCUAACACAUUUCGGUCAUUGUUUCUUUUUAAUGGUCGUGUUCUAUUUUUCCCCCUCACCCAUCGGCACUAACCUUUAAUAACUUGGUGUUUAAAGUAUUCAAUAAUUCAUAUUAAUUAAUAAUAGUUAUUGCAAUAGGUAACAAUUUAUUUUUUAUUUUUUGGCCUCUGGGUGUGUUUCUCCCAAAAUACACAAGAGCUAAUAAUUACAAUAGUCAAUUAUUUAAAUAAUACAUUCCAAAAUAAAAUACUAUUAAACUAAAAUAAAUAUAAUUGCGUUACAUAAUUUAAACUGGGCAUUAUUAUAGUAUUGAUUAUUCAGGGCUGUUCUUACAAACAUAAAUUUUGACUUUUAAACAGAAUUUAUAUAACUGACUGGUCUAGUGGUCAGUUAUCAUCCAUAAACUCAAUUUAAAAAUCAAAUAAACAAAAAUGUUUAUUUUGGAGUGAAUGGCCCUCAAUCAGUUGUUCAGUCAAAUUUCUAAAUUUCAAAUUAAUUAAUAAGGUACCUAAACAACUGACAGAAUGAAAAUUUACCUAUUACAUUUUGUAAAACAAGUAAAAAUAUGACUAGAUAAUAAAUAUAUAAAUGUACUUAAUAAAAAUUAAUAAAAAUUACUAAUCAGAAAAUUAUAUUGAUAUGCAUAAUCGACCUAUAAAAAUUUAUUUGGUAAGAAUCAUUAGAAACAAGAAAACAAGUAUUUUGUAAAAAAUUUCAGUUCUCUAUGAUUAUUUUUAACCAGUUUAUAAAAAAACAUAAAUAGUUA